rnacentral:sRNA from 1 species
CUUGAAUCCGUGUACAGGCAGCUGAUCUGAUGCAACAGGAGUCAUUUAGAAGUCGUCGUCCUGGUUGGGCUUGGGGGAGGUGAGGAUGGCGGUGUAGAGCCUGAGCUUCUCCUCCCCGAGGGACGAGCACCGCGAGAGCGGCCUGCGCGGGCGGAUGAAGGAGAGCGAGGCGAGCGUCUUGCGGUGCUUGUACCGCCGCCACGCGAGCUGCACGGCGACGGCCGCCCACGUCCGCCACCCGUGGGAGUAGUACCGCGCGCUGCGCCGCACCUUGUCGCUGGUGAAGGUGUACCGGAAGUGCUGCGUCACGUACUUGACGUCGCCGGCCUCCAGCCCGAACGCCUCCGUGCUCUCCGCCGUCACCAGCGUCGACGACGACGCCGGCAGCCGCUCCAUGAACGGCCGCCUCAUGCACCACGACAGCAGCUCGUCCCCGCUGAAGUUCCCCGGCCCCAGCGUGCACCAGCUCGUCGCCCCGUUCCUCAUCACCUGGCUGCACUGCAGGUGCCCCCUCACUAUGAACAGCAUCCUCUGCACCGGGUCCCCUUCUCUCACAAUAUCUCGCCCUUGGGGAAGAUGAGGGACUUGACGCGGUCGCAGAUGUUCUCGAGGACGAGGUCGUCCAUGUGGUGGAAGAGGGGGACCUG